AGAUUGAACGCUGGCGGCAGGCCUAACACAUGCAAGUCGAGCGGCAGCACGGGUACUUGUACCUGGUGGCGAGCGGCGGACGGGUGAGUAAUGCCUAGGAAUCUGCCUGGUAGUGGGGGAUAACGCUCGGAAACGGACGCUAAUACCGCAUACGUCCUACGGGAGAAAGCAGGGGACCUUCGGGCCUUGCGCUAUCAGAUGAGCCUAGGUCGGAUUAGCUAGUUGGUGAGGUAAUGGCUCACCAAGGCGACGAUCCGUAACUGGUCUGAGAGGAUGAUCAGUCACACUGGAACUGAGACACGGUCCAGACUCCUACGGGAGGCAGCAGUGGGAAUAUUGGACAAUGGGCGAAAGCCUGAUCCAGCCAUGCCGCGUGUGUGAAGAAGGUCUUCGGAUUGUAAAGCACUUUAAGUUGGAGGAAGGGCAGUUACCUAAUACGUAUCUGUUUUGACGUUACGACAAGAAUAAGCACCGGACUAACUCUGUAG
rnacentral:rRNA from 1 species